CUCCUCUUUCCUAGCUCAUGGGGCAGCCAGGGACUGUGAAGGCUUCAGCAUCCUGGUGAUCAUCAUCACACGUUCUUGUAUGUGCUGCCUGUGUCAUGGGACCUUUCCUAAUCCGACUGCAGAGGGCUGCUCCACAGAAAUGUCUCUUACCAGCCAAAAGCAUGUAGAGCUCCCCCAUUUUCGGCUGGAAGUUGAUGGCUGCGCUGAGGAAAUGGAAAGCGGAUGCAUACUGCUGCAUAGUCAAGUGGACAAGGCCCAAAUUAUAGAGAAUCUUCCACUCUAAAGGUGCCAGGUAGUUGGCUCGUUUCAGGCAGCUGAUGGCCUGGAAGAGUGAGGGGGCACUUGGUGAGGGGCUGGGGCAAGCUCAGCAGACCCAGUAACUAUGAACACAAACCAGGAAGAGGAGGAGACACUCACUGCCACAUAUUUCUUCUUGCCAAAGAAGCACAUUGCAAUGUUAUUCCAGAGUGGAGGGCUUUCUGUAACACCACAUGCUGCAACUUUGUAUUUGGUGAGGGCAACAUCAAAGUCCCCGUGGGUCUGCAUCAUGCUGCCUGCUGCCAAGAUGGCCUGAAAACAUGGAAAGUUCAUAAUUUAGUCAUUCUCAAAAGGCUGUCAGAGUGAAGUAGCCUUCCUGAGUCUAGACACUCAGUAGGCCCAUCAACACUGAUGGGAUUGAAAAACAUCUUCCAGGGACCUAUACAUCCACUGGAACAAACGCUCAAGAGGAACACUCUCACGCCCCACACUGUGGCUCUUUGCUGUAAUAAAGAAAAGUCUCUGACUUUACCUA